CCUACGGGAGGCAGCAGUGAGGAAUAUUGGUCAAUGGACGAGAGUCUGAACCAGCCAAGUAGCGUGAAGGAUGACUGCCCUAUGGGUUGUAAACUUCUUUUAUAUGGGAAUAAAACGUUCCACGUGUGGGAUUUUGUAUGUACCAUAUGAAGAAGGAUCGGCUAACUCCGUGCCAGCAGCCGCGGUAAUACGGAGGAUCCGAGCGUUAUCCGGAUUUAUUGGGUUUAAAGGGAGCGUAGGUGGAGUGUUAAGUCAGUUGUGAAAGUUUGCGGCUCAACCGUAAAAUUGCAGUUGAAACUGGCAGUCUUGAGUACAGUAGAGGUGGGCGGAAGUCGUGGUGUAGCGGUGAAAUGCUUAGAUAUCACGAAGAACUCCGAUUGCGAAGGCAGUUCACUGGACUGCAACUGACACUGAGGCUCGAAAGUGUGGGUAUCAAACAGGAUUAGAUACCCGAGUAGUC
rnacentral:rRNA from 1 species